CGGCUUCCCUCAACGCCGCUGCUACCAGCCACAGCAGCGACGGUGUUGACGGAGGUCGAG
rnacentral:pre_miRNA from 1 species